rnacentral:rRNA from 1 species
UACCAGCUCUCCGAGUGGUAGGGAUGAUUAUUGGGCUUAAAGCGUCCGUAGCCGGCUUAGCAAGUUUCCUGUUAAAUUCAGCGACCUAAUCGUUGAGCCGCGGGAAAUACUACUAGGCUAGGAGGCGGGAGAGGUCGACGGUACUUCUGGGGUAGGGGUGAAAUCCUAUAAUCCCGGGAGGACCACCAGUGGCGAAGGCUGUCGACUAGAACGCGCUCGACGGUGAGGGACGAAAGCUGGGGGAGCGAACCGGAUUAGAUACCCGGGUAGCCCCAGCUGUAAACGAUGCGGGCUAGGUGUUGGGGUGGCUACGUGCCACUUCAGUGCCGCAGGGAAGCCAUUAGCCCGCCGCCUGGGGAGUACGGCCGCAAGGCUAGAAACUUAAGGAUUGGCGGGAAAGCACCACAAGGCGUGAAGCUUGCGGUUC